rnacentral:rRNA from 1 species
UCGCUAGUAAUCGCGGAUCAGCAUGCCGCGGUGAAUACGUUCCCGGGCCUUGUACACACCGCCCGUCACACCAUGAGAGUCGGGAACACCCGAAGUCCGUAGCCUGACCGCGAAGGGGGGCGCGGCCGAAGGUGGGUUCGAUAAUUGGGGUGAAGUCGUAACAAGGUACC